GACGAACGCUGGCGGCGUGCUUAACACAUGCCAGUCGAACGGAAAGGCCCUGCUUUUGUGGGGUGCUCGAGUGGCGAACGGGUGAGUAACACGUGAGUAACCUGCCUUUGACUUUGGGAUAACUUCAGGAAACUGGGGCUAAUACCGGAUAGGAGCUCCUGCUGCAUGGUGGGGGUUGGAAAGUUUCGGCGGUUGGGGAUGGACGCGCGGCUUAUCAGCUUGUUGGUGGGGUAGUGGCUUACCAAGGCUUUGACGGGUAGCCGGCCUGAGAGGGUGACCGGCCACAUUGGGACUGAGAUACGGCCCAGACUCCUACGGGAGGCAGCAGUGGGGAAUAUUGCACAAUGGGCGGAAGCCUGAUGCAGCAACGCCGCGUGCGGGAUGACGGCCUUCGGGUUGUAAACCGCUUUCGCCUGUGACGAAGCGUGAGUGACGGUAAUGGGCAAAGAAGCACCGGCUAACUACGUG
rnacentral:rRNA from 1 species